rnacentral:lncRNA from 1 species
CCUAACCAGAUAAAACAUGAGAUUCUGUGAGUGAGGAUUGUGAGCUCAGCAAAGAUUCAAUGACACCAAAAAUCAUCUCUUAAGGGGCUUCUUGUAUAGCUGGACAGAUAAUGUUGGCACCUGGAUGAAGGGAAAAAGACCACAUAUGCAAUGCUAAGGUAUAAUGAAAGCAAGGAUUCCAAGAUAGAUGACUCACUACUAAUGGCUCAACAGUCUCUUCCUGGCAUAGCACUAGUAUAUGACAGUAAGUACAGCAGUGUGUGUGUGUGUGUGUGUGUGUGUAUGUGUGUGUGUUGGACAGAUAAAUCAACUGUGGCAUAUCCCUACAAUAGGAUACCAGGGAACAAUGGAAAUGAAUGAUCUACAGCUUCAUGUGAAAGCAUGAAUGAAGAUUUUUAAAACCAAGGGAAAGAUAUCUGGGUUCAGCUGAAGCGCCAGCUUGUUCCACCCAGAGAAGCCCACUUUGUGAGAAUUAACAGGAAGGAGCUUGAGCUGCCUGAACCUCUUCUCUGUGAAUUCAUGGCAUAAUGGGUGUUAAAAAAAUAGUCAAUUGUCCCCAAAUUUUUAUAAAUUUAAUUAAUACAAAUCCAAUCAAUACCCUAACAAAGUUUUCUCUAGACUUGAACAAGUCUAAAUUCAUAGUGAAGAAUAAAAUAUCAAGAAUAAGCAAGACAACUUUGAAUAGAAACAAUAAGGCAGGAAAAUUUCCUUUACCAAGUAACAGGGGUUAUUAGAUAGUGUGAUGACAGCAUUGAUCAGGAUAGACGCACACACCAAUGAAACCAAAUAUUGACCUGACGUAGACCUGCACUUGAAUGUAAACUUGAAAUAUGACACGUGGGAUGGCCAGUCAAUGGGGAAAGGAUAGACCCUGGGCAAUUAGAAUAGAAUAGGGCAAUUUCACUGGCCUACAUGUGCAUUCCACAUCAUUGCACACUUGUCAGAUUAGCAAUCAUGAAAAACACCACUGCAUGUUGUCAAGGUGCAGAGCAGGGAUGAAUUUCCUAUGCCAGGAGUGGAAGCUAGCGCUAACACUUUGUGUGUGUGUGUGUGUUUAGAUGUAGAGUCUCACUAUGUCGCCCAGGCUGGAGUGCAGUGGUGCGAUCUUGGCUCACUGCAGCCUCUAACUCCUGGGCUCAAGUGAUCUUCUCACCUCAACUUCCCAAGUAGCUGGGACCACAGGCAAGCAUCAACAUUCCCAGCUAAUUAUUUCCAUUUUUUUUUUUUUUUUUUUUUUUUUUUUUGUAGAGAUGUGGUCUCACUGUAGUCUCAAAUGCCUGGGCUCAAGUGAUGCUCCUGCCUUGGCCUCCCAAAGUGCUGAGAUUACACGGGUGACCCACUGCACUUGAACCACUUUGGAUAAUACUGGUAGUACCGCCACAAAGAAAAUUCUAGAGAGUUUGGGGAAAACAAAACAUAAACUUUUAAAAGAAAAUAAAGGAGAAUAUGUCUAUGUCCUAGGAAUAGAUACGUUUUCUUAAACAAGAGAAUAAAAGCAAAAACCAUAGAGAUGUCUUCAUUAAUAUCAUUGCCCCUACUAUAAGCAGUGGCCAGUUAAUCUCCCACACCCAUGCCUUCCACCUGCUGUGCACUCAACCAGAAGCAAAAGCUUUAGUGACUAUGAUGCCAGAGUGUCAGGAUUAUUAUCCCCUACUUACCAAGAGCAAAAGGGUCCCUACUGCUUUCAGAGAGGUGGCAAUCUGACUGCAAACUCCUAGCUGAGAAGCUGUUUUAUAAGCUUCUUGCACAAAUUGUCUUAUCUGGGCUUCAAAGAUAACAAAGUCUGAGGCAAAGCAUAUGUGCUAAUAUUUUAUUGUGGAAUGAAACAUCGAGGCAGCAGGAAUAAGGGAAAAUAGACAUUGAGGCAGGUAGGGCUGGAAAGCAAAUACCAGGUGGUACGUUAUAGAGUUGACCUCAGCUUAAGGUUUCUCUCUCAAGGUUUCUAGUCAGGCUAAACAAAACUACCAUUUUUCAGAAUACAUCAUCCAGGGAAAGGGAAAGGACACUGCUGCUAGCUCCCUCCCAUCUCUCACUGAUCCAAGCUGGUACCCUGGGACACAAAUUCUGCUUUACCUGAGAGUGGUGUCACGCAGCCCUUCUGGUUGACUGUUGGGGAAGCCAAAUCCUGCACACCAUGGUGUGUACUUCAUUUGAAUCUAAGUUUGGUGGGUAGGGCCCAAACUCUCAAUGACUUAAUUGGAUUGGGACUGGUGGCUGAAGUUUCUGCCAAGGUGGAUGUGAAGGAGACAAUGGUAGUGGCAGCCAGGAUGUUCCAAUGAGCAAGUGCUCAAAGGCCCAGGAGUUGAUGGUGCCCAGUGAUGCUGGGAAUCUGGUUCACUACCUCAUGCUAACUCUGCCUAGAAUCACACAAUGUUUAUCUAACAUCCAAUCCUCCUACCAACCAUGUAGGAGUAGCACUAUCCACCUCUUACAGAAAAGAAAACUGAGGCUUUGUACAACAUACCUUGCACGUAGUAGAAUGAGUAUUUGAACCUAGUAAAAAGUGCAACGUUUGUACUCUUUCUCCUAGCCAAUGUACAUCUCCUAUUCCAAAAAUUCUAAGCAAAAGAUGGCAAUACCUAUGAUAAAAGAAAUUUUGGGGUUGGUGGGAAGACAUGGUGGUAGUGGUCACUGUGUGUUGAUCGGACUUCAGAAUAACAAAGGAAGAGUUUCCUUUUUACUUAUUACUAUGAUGCACCAUUUAGACAUAUUAGUUAUAGAGAACACAAAACAACAUACUUUGACACAACAAAUGAACUGCAUUAAAUGGAAUGUGUUAUAACCCAGGCUUGGGCUGACAACAUAAAAACCUCUUGAUGAAACUAUCCCCAAGUAAACCUUUGCAUCCCAUCUAUUAUUUUGAUGUUGUAUUUUCACCAAACUGAUAAUAUGUCCAGUCUUCACAUGGAAUCACCCAAGGUCACAUUGACAUAAACGGCAUUUCUUUAAACACAGUCCUUGAAACUCCAGUAAGCAUCAUGCUCUUUCACAGACUUGAAAUAGUCACAGCACAAACCCCAAGACAAAGGGGAAGUAACUUCCAGUGAACUGAGCAAACAGCCUCACUAAAGAGCAGAAGAAUUAAAAAUAGGUUUUCGGUGGUAACAUGAAAAGAAAUACAGAUUUUCUUUCUUGCCUUGAUUCAUUCAAUUUAGAGGUGCAAAACAGAGUUCAGCUUCCACUCUCUUAUAUCUUUGGUCUUUCUCUUCUCAAAGAUCUUCAGGUGCAAAAUUGAAGUACAACCAUCCUAUUUACUCAGCCAUUUCACCCUUUAUCUAUUUGCUUCCGGUGUAUUUUGAGGAAAUGAACAAUAUGUUUCCCAUUUUGCCCUCUUAGGCCUCA